GACGAACGCUGGCGGCGUGCCUAAUACAUGCAAGUAGAACGCACAGUUUAUACCGUAGCUUGCUACACCAUAGACUGUGAGUUGCGAACGGGUGAGUAACGCGUAGGUAACCUGCCUGGUAGCGGGGGAUAACUAUUGGAAACGAUAGCUAAUACCGCAUAAUAUUAAUUAUUGCAUGAUAAUUAAUUGAAAGGUGCAAUUGCACCACUACCAGAUGGACCUGCGUUGUAUUAGCUAGUAGGUGAGGUAACGGCUCACCUAGGCGACGAUACAUAGCCGACCUGAGAGGGUGAUCGGCCACACUGGGACUGAGACACGGCCCAGACUCCUACGGGAGGCAGCAGUAGGGAAUCUUCGGCAAUGGAUGAAAGUCUGACCGAGCAACGCCGCGUGAGUGAAGAAGGUUUUCGGAUCGUAAAGCUCUGUUGUAAGAGAAGAACGGGUGUGAGAGUGGAAAGUUCACACUGUGACGGUAUCUUACCAGAAAGGGACGGCUAACUACGUG
rnacentral:rRNA from 1 species